rnacentral:rRNA from 1 species
UGCGCGAGUCAUUGGGACUAGCGAAACCUAAAGGCGAAAUGAAAGUAAAGGCUCGCCUUGCGCGAGCCGAGGGAGGAUGGGCCGCGUCACGACGCGGCUCCGCACUCCCGGGGCGUCUCGCUCUCAUUGCGAGAUGAGGCGCACCCAGAGCGUAUACGCUGAGACCCGAAAGAUGGUGAACUAUGCCUGGUCAGGACGAAGUCAGGGGAAACCCUGAUGGAGGUCCGUAGCGAUUCUGACGUGCAAAUCGAUCGUCGGAACUGGGUAUAGGGGCGAAAGACUAAUCGAACCGUCUAGUAGCUGGUUCCCUCCGAAGUUUCCCUCAGGAUAGCUGGCGCUCGCUGUGCGAGUCUCAUCCGGUAAAGCGAAUGAUUAGAGGCAUUGGGGUCGAAACGGCCUCAACCUAUUCUCAAACUUUAAAUGGGUGAGAUCUCCGGCUUGCUUGAACGUGAAGCCGCGAGAUUUCGGAUCAGAGUGCCAAGUGGGCCACUUUUGGUAAGCAGAACUGGCGCUGUGGGAUGAACCAAACGCCGAGUUAAAGCGCCAAAAUCGACGCUUAUGGGAUACCAUGAAAGGCGUUG